UGGGGAAUAUUGGACAAUGGGCGCAAGCCUGAUCCAGCAACGCCGCGUGGAGGACGAAGGUCUUCGGAUCGUAAACUCCUGUCAGGCGGGACGAAGGCUUCCGGGCAAAUAGUCUGGAAGCUUGACGGUACUGCCAGAGGAAGCACCGGCUAACUCCGUGCCAGCAGCCGCGGUAAUACGGAGGGGGCUAGCGUUAUUCGGAAUUACUGGGCGUAAAGCGUGCGCAGGCGGUUGUGUAAGACAGAUGUGAAAUCCCCGGGCUUAACCUGGGAACUGCAUUUGUGACUGCACAGCUGGAGUGCGGCAGAGGGGGAUGGAAUUCCGCGUGUAGCAGUGAAAUGCGUAGAUAUGCGGAGGAACACCGAUGGCGAAGGCAAUCCCCUGGGCCUGCACUGACGCUCAUGCACGAAAGCGUGGGGAGCAAA
rnacentral:rRNA from 1 species